GGACAGGAACUCAGAUCUGAGAACAUCUUCAAUCAUAACCCAUCCUAUCAAGUCUAAUCCAAACAUCGUAAGACUGAGAUACUGUUCCGAGUACAAUUUCUCAUCCUGGUAACAUCUUCGUCAAGUCACAGGUUGGGAAAUAUCUUACCAGAGUCACAAGGGGAAGAUUUCUAUAUUUCCUUCCAGCAACUCAUUUGCCAUUUAAGAAACAAGCUUUAAACUCAUAAAGUGACCGUGGAUUAUUUAGAAUCUAAUGAAUCCAUUUUCCCAAUACUGCUGAUUAGAAUCAGGAAUUCCUACACAGUUCUGUAUUACUCUAUUCCAUCAAAACAUGUCACUGGCUUUGAAAAGCGUAUUUUGGGUAUCUAUUUUACAAAAGAUUUCUCAGCUACUUACCAGCUGCAAGCGCUCUGCUUCUCCACCAGCUCUGAGGCUGUCGCACUGAAGGGGGGGCGGGAAAGCGGCAGCAGCCACUUGAAAAUGAGCUGUGCUCUGAAGAAGGGAUUAGCUCUGUGGAAAGAAAUGAAAUGCCUUGGGAUUAUCCUCCAAUUCCUCCAAAAACACAGAAUCAUUUUAAGUAUCACAUGCUAAAAAGUACAUGCUCAUCACAGAACUGAUUUUAGUAGCAAAACUUCUGAUCUAAAACACAGUUAAAUUGCCUUGAUUUCCAGUGGAACCCCUACAAUGUCAUGGACUUUUGGCUCUCCCGUCUCCUGGCAACAGUCUCAUUAAUAUUUUUUUUUCUGCAGUGGUCCUACUAGGCAUCAGAGAACAUUGACAAGGUCUAGUCUCUGGUGGCAUUUUUUUGUUCAGUACGUGUUUUCCCCCACACAAGUAAUAAGGAGAGUCAGACAUUCAAUAACAUGUUCUCUAGAGGAAGAUUCUGGAUUGGAAUGCAUUCCAUUCAAAUGAUUUGUUCUGCCCUCCCUUGGUGCAGUGUUCUCAUUAGGCCCCUGACCUGAAGAUGGGUCUCAGCAAAAGAUGCCUAACUCCUUCUGCAAUCCUCAAAUUACACGCAGAAAUUCAGGCCCAGACCCAGUGUUGUUAUUAUCUACUCUGCUCAGAAAAAAAAUGCACAGAGUUCACCUGUGUCCUCAGCUCUAGCAUCAUGACCCCCACCUGUCAGCAUGGCUACUGGAGCCUCAAUCUUAGGCCAGAUCCUACGGUCUCUCCUUCCCUACAUGCAACAUGUUGCCAUGAGACACUGUCAUGCUGCUUGCCUACAGUCUCCCUACUCUGGCUACAGAAUGGACCACACUUCAGACAAAUGGACUACAGCAGGCUCAGCCACAGUUUGGCAAAGCACCAACAACCCAGGAGAGCUGGGCAAAUGGCCAAACAAUUUCAGACUAUAAUGCUUAAUCUUCUCAUAGCAAUUUAGUGAGGCAUGGGUAUGAAUUAGUAUUAUCCUCCAAUGUGACAUAAGGUGCAAAGACCCCAGAAAUAAUAGUAAUAGUGGCAAAAAGAGGCUGGGAGCCAGAUUACAGAGACUGAACAAGCAGAGAGAUAAGGAAACAGGAAGGAAGCAAAGCUAAGAAGGAAAAAGUAGUGCUUAGGUCCAGCCAUAUGAACUCUGGUUCUCUGGCAGGACUUCUGUUAAAGAAGAGUAACUUUUAGGAAAAAAGCAAAACCCUAGUCCUGAAGAUGGUGAAGCCACGCAAGGGAUUCAGUCAGUAGCACAAAGAACAGGUAAGAGCUCAAUUAAAAAUGCUAAGAUUUAUGGUCAAAAGCCAGAUUGUAACUAAGCUAGCAGCGUUGUGUAUGGGUACAGAGGCCUUUCUAGUGCCCUCUCUGGGGGCCAGACUGGUCCGAUUCUGGAGUGUUGCUGAGACAGUUCGCGGGAGGUUGUGGCCCAACCGGAGAGAGUGAAGGAAAGGAAAAUGCAUAAUUAAUCUUAUGGCAGAGAAUCAAUCCUAAACAGAAAUCUCUCCUAGAAAUAAGAGCAGCACUUUGCAAGACGAAUGGAUAAGCUGCAUAGAUCAGUUGAAAGAUUAUCGUAAGAGUUUCUUCGUCAGUCACACAAGGAGGCCAGACCACAUCAGGAGCACCAAAAUCACCAGGAAAAAUAUUUUUCAAAUGCAUAUAUGCAGUAUGUCCCCAAAGACACAGAAUUAGCAGGUCUUGAGGGGGGCUACCUGAGAAUCUGUAUUUUAAAGUUCUCUACAGGAUUAGGAUGUAUUGGCAGGUUCAGAAAUCACUGGACUAGAAGAUUCCCAAAUACUAUUAUCUGCCAUCAACUGUUUUAUUUGGC
rnacentral:lncRNA from 12 species